UAAGAAACUGCCCUAGAAUCCACUUCCAGUCCCCACCCAGCUGCCCACCGCACCCUCCCAAGAAAGUAAGGAGGGAAUCAGAGAGAAGUGGGCACAGAGCAACCUCCAAAUCAGGAGACAGAUAAAGGCAGGUGACAGUGGUCCCUCUGACCUUAACCAUUUGUUUAACCAACAUUCCCUGGGCACCUGGGGAGACCAGGGGGAUGUGGCAGUGAAGAAGGAGGAUAUAACUCUGAUCCUCAAGGUAGACCAGUGGGGGAAUGCAGACCUGGACACAGGAGUUCCCCAUCACCGAGGCAAAGGAAGCCUUCCUGGAGGAAGUGACGUCCCAGCUGCGCUCUGAACUGGAGUCAGCCAGGUAAAGCAGCUGGAGCAGCAUGGUCACCCGACCACACCUGGAGCCUUGAGGGCUGCCAGAGUCAAACCAAAGACAGGGAUGCACGAAGGCCCUGCUGCCUAGGAGCUGAUCUUCUUUUCACCUACAAAGCUUCGCAGUUUGGGCACAAAUGUGGAGGAGGCAGAAAGCUGGACCCAUGCAGAGUUGAGGCAUCUCUGGCAGCUUUGACAGAAGGACAAAGGAACAAGUUGCAAGACACGGUAAACUGCAAGAGGGUAAGCGAAGUGAGGCAGUGUGGCUUCUCGGGUGGAUGCAGAGAGAAGCAGAGACAAGAGGCUCAUGGAGAAAAAGCAGAGUUCCAGGAUGGCCUUAGAUCAGAGCACAGUUACAGCUGGAGGCUGUGCAGUCAUGGUGAGGAGCACAGGUAUAGAAAACACACAGCCUGAGAUUUUUUUAAUAUAAUUUUAUUUAUUAUUUCUGGCUGUGCUGGGUCAUCCUUGCUGUGCAGGCUUUCUCUAGGUGCAGUGUGCAGACUUCUCGUUGCGGCAGCCUCUCUUGUCGCGGAACACAGGGCUUCAGUAGUUUUGGUGUGGCUCUGGAGCUCAAUAGCUGUGGUGCAUGGGCUUGGUUGCUCUGUGGCAUGUGGGCUCUUCCUGGAUCAGGGCUCAAACCUGUGUCUCCUGCAGUGGCCAGCAGAUUCUUUACCACUGAGCCACCAGGGAAGCCCCACACAGCCUAGGUUUGAGUCCCCACACUGCCACUUAUUAUCACCAUGUUUGUGACCUUGGGCAAGUGACUCAACCUCUCUGAGCCUCUUUGUCCCCAUCCAAAGCUGAAGAUGGCAAUAGCAUCUAUCUAUAGGGUUGUCACAGGGCUUAAAUGAGUUAAUGAUAUAAGAGGCCUGGCAUGCUGCAGUCCACGGGGCUGCAAAGAACUGGACAUGACUGGGCAACUGAACAACAACGAUAUAAAAGACUUAAACCAGUGUUUGGCACAUGGCAGCGCUGUACAGGUGUUUCUAUAGUGGUAGCAACAGUUUAGUCAAGAGUGAGAUGGCUGGGUUUCUCAGA
rnacentral:tRNA from 1 species